CGAAUAGAGGCCCGCUGGUUUGGGUGUUUAGCUGUUAACUAAUUAGUCGUGGGAUCAAGGCCCGCCUAUUCAG
rnacentral:tRNA from 1 species